rnacentral:rRNA from 1 species
AUACGGGGGAUUCAAGCGUUAUCCGGACUGAUUGGGUUUAAAGGGUGCGUAGGCUGAUAAAUCAGUCAGCGGUGAAAUUUACGGGCUUAACUUGUAGCUUGCCGUUGAAACUAUUUAUCUAGAGAUAUUUCGGCGUAUGCGGAAUGUAUCAAGUAGCGGUGAAAUGCAUAGAUAUGCUACAGAACACCAAUCGCGAAGGCAGCAUACGAGGCAUUAUCGGACGCUGAGGCACGAAAGCGUGGGGAUCAAACAGGAUUAGAUACCCUGGUAGUCCACGCUGUAAACGAUGAAUACUAGCCGUUCGCGAUAUACAGUGAGUGGCACAGCGAAAGCGUUAAGUAUUCCACCUGGGGAGUACGUUCGCAAGAAUGAAACUCAAAGGAAUUGACGGGG